CUUUUACGACAUUCUCACUCACGAAUCACGAUCUUCACUCUCACCAACAAACAAUCACGAUCCUCUACUGCAGAACCCUAACCACUUCAACCUCUUCCGUGCAAUCAAACUCGUUCUCCAGCGGCCACGGUGCAUUUCUAUCGGACCGCCUCUUGUUGAGCAUUUCCGUUACUAUCCGGUCUAAUUCCCCGCUGUUAUUCUCGUUGAAGAAAAUCUGUGGCAUCGUCCUUCACGCCAAAAACCUGCACGCCGUAAAGGUUGAAAUAUGUCACUCGGCAUUUCUCGCCAUCGCUGUCGUCGUUAUCAUCCUCCACAGGCUGGAAAAGCAAAGAGAGGCGCUUCGCGAUGAUCCUCAACAUCUCCGUCAGUGAGAACGGUGACCGUCUCACUCGCACUGCCAAGGCACCGAUUUUUUUUAUUUUGUAAUAAUAUUAUUAUGUUUUUCAUCUUCUCUUUUGUGCUCUCUUUUCUUCGCUCUCUCUAACUAGGUAAUUAGGUGCUCGAACAACUCAAUGGCCAAACCUAUGUUUUCUCCAAAGAUUACUCGGAGGAACUUUUAUUCAAGUUAAAUGAUUCAAGAAGAUAUAGAGGAACAAUGGAUCAACAAUUUAAUGCCCGUUUGUAGAGGAGAUUUCUUCACACGUCGUUUCCUCUCUGAUGGGACUCAAUUUUGGAAACUUCUGAUCACAUCCGCAUUUCAUAAAGAGUCAUGUUCCAAAGAUGAAAGUAUUCCUUUGCAACUACCUUAUAGAAGCAAUUCCAUGAAUUCAGAGGAUUCAUUCGCUGAGACAAGCAAUCUCAAGGUUCAGAUUGAAGAAGUUUAGUGAUUUGGUUGUGGGAAUAGCCUGUAGCAGUGUUGUUGGACUUCGGGAUGCUUCUCAAUUCCCUCCACGAACUUGCAUCUUCUGAUCCUGAUCUUGUAUGGAUUCUCUUAGCUGACAAAUAUUACACUAAAUAUAAAGCAAAUUUGCUUUAUAUUUAGCUGGAUAUUGCUUUCACAUGAUUUACUCUCAGCAUCAAAUGUAUAGCUAAGAUCUGAAUUAACGUGUAAACAUUUUUCUGGCUUUUCUAUCCCAUUGAUUCAUCAUCCUUUC